UGUGGCUGUCUGGUCCCCCAGGACUGCAGUGGCCCACAGAGGAGGCUGUCUGGUCUCCCAGGGGCCAGUGGGGGCCGACGGGAUGUUCUGCCAUGACUAGGACUUCCCCGGCACUGGGGACAGCGUGGCAGGGGAGAGGGGCGGGGAGUGGGUACAGUACCCACAGACCUGGUGGCAUCACCCCAAGAACCCCAUGAGAAUAGCAGUGACAAUCAUCAGAGCCAUACAGCGAGAAUGGGAGCAAUCAGCACAAGGAGAGCUCAUGCCGCAUUUGUUUUUUCUGCCACUAUUCCCUGAAUCCCAGUAGGUGCCCAGCACAGAAGAGGCACCUGGUGUCUCUGCCCACGUGACAUUUAUAGUCCAACGUGGAAUCCCGUGAGCUUGCCAGUGCGUCACACACCGUAACCAUGGCAACACCUAUGGCGUUGGUGCUAAGGAUGGUGCUCUUUGCCUGCAUUGCCUUGUUUAGUCCUUGGCACACACACACCCGUCUGCUCAGAGCUUUCAUUGUCCCAUUUCAGAGAUGGAGAAAUGGAGGCACAGGGCAUGAACUCCCACAUCCUCACAGUCAGACCGUACGUGACUGAGUGUGGAGAGGCAGAGACCCCGGGUUAACAACGCCCUUUCUUCAUCUCUUGGAGGGAGACCAACUUCUGCCACCAGGGUGAGGAAGUGAGGAAGGCCAGUGGGAGAGGCACUGCCAAUGGGAAGCUGCCACACACAGCAAGUCUGCCAGGCUACGGGAUCCGGGGUGAGGCCCAGGCUGAGGGACGAGUUGUGCCCAGGGUGCUUGCUGCCCCACCUCCCACCUGCCCUCAGGACCAAGGACCUGCUCCCUGCACCGCCAGCAGCACAGAGUUCACACUAUGAAGUCCUGGACACAGGGGGAGGGGAGAGCCUGGACUUCAGAACCAGACAGCUGCUGUGGACCCUGGGUAAGCCCCCCUGCCCCGUCUCUCAUCCAGGGAGUGGAUGGGGCUGGAGUCUGAGGUCGCUUUUAGUCCCCUUCUCCUUGACGCUCUGAUUUGCAAGAACAGAGACAGUGUGCUUGGCUCUGAGAAUGGGACUCUCCACCUCCCCCCGCCCCCCGGCUCCGCCCUCUGCCUGUAAACCUGCUCGGGUCUCCGCCUCCUUCGGAGAUGAGCUGCUCUGUUGUGCUCCCUCCUUUUACCUCCAAACCUCCAGCAGGAACUGUGGGAGCAAGCAGUGAGGAGAGACGGAGGCUGGGGUGCGAGCCCUCUUGGCUUGCAGGUCUCGGGUCUCGGAGCACCUGCCGGCAGGGAGAAUGGUCUGCGCUGAUGGGGCCAGAGCGGCUGCUCAGCCUUCGCGUGGAGGUCGCCUCUCCCAGGCGCCCUACUGCCCGGCAGGCUGGCCUCCCAGGACUGCUGGCACGGAUGACCAUGGACAGCAUGUCACAGAACCACAGACAGCAGAAGAGCACAGAGAAAACCAAGCCGCCUGAUUCCGACGUGGACAAAGGACUGGCAGAGACAGUUCUGCAAAGAUGGGCCAAUGGCCAAUGGAAAGUCGCUCCACGUCAUCAGUCACCAGGGAAAAGAGGACGAAACCCAGAGGGAUGCUACUUCACACCUGCUAGGCGGUUAUGAGAACAAAAGUCGAGCAAAAACUGAUGAAACUGGGAAACAGCAAGUGACGCGCAGCAGCUGGAUCCCAUAGGUGCUGCUACUGGGCAUGGAGAUCAGUGCAGCAGCUGGGGCACCGUCCAAAUGUCAAGCACACGAUUACUUUCCAUUUUUUUAAAGAUUUAUUUAUUUAUUUGAGAGGCAGAGUUACACAGAGAGAAGGAGAGGCAGAGAGAGAGAGAGAGGUCUUCCAUCAGCUGGUUUACUCCCCAGUUGGCCGCAACGGCCAGAGUUGCGCUGAUCCAAAGCCAGGAGCCAGGAGCUUCCUUCUGGUCUCCCACAUGGGUUCGGGGGCCUAAGGACUUGGUCCAUCCUCCACUGCUUUCCCAGGCCACAGCACGGAGCUAGGUCAGAAGCGGAGCAGCUAGGACUCGAAUCGGCGCCAAUAUGGGAUGCGGGCACUGCAGGCGGUGGCUUUACCUGCUAUGUCACAGCGCUGGCCCCACGAUUACUUUCUGAUCCUGCAGUUCCACUCCUGGCAAAAAUCUGAAAGCAGGGACUAGAACAGGUAAACCAUAUACAGCUUUGCAAGCAGAUGCCUGUAAACCGUGCUCACGGCAGCAUUAUUCACAAUAGACAAGAGGCGGAAAUCACCCCCCCCUCCACCCCCCGGCCAUCACCAGGGGGAGGAUAACUCUCAGGUGAUACACACCCAGGGGAGUACUGGUGAGCCACUAUAAGGCAAUGCAAUUCUGACACAUGCUGUGACACCGAAACAUUACCUUUAGUGAGAUGAACCAGAUUCAAAAGGACAAAUAUUGCAUGGCUCCACACAAAUGAGGCAGCUAAUGUAGUGUAAUUACAGAGAUACCCAGUAGAAUAAGAUGGCCAGGGGACCGGAGGGGGGAAAGGAAAGUAACUGCUUAAUGGGUACAGAGUUUGUGUGAGUGCGGAGAGCGGUGAUGGGUAGGCAGCACUGCGAAUGUGUUAAUGCCACUGAAUUCUGCAUUUAUAAGUAUGAAGAUGAGAAACGUUCUGUUAUGUAUGUUUACCACAAAAUAUUUUUAUUUAAAGUUUUAUUUAUUUAUUUGAAAGGCAGAAUGACAGGGAGAGUGGGAACUAGAGAGAGAAAGGAGAGAGCUCUUCGCCAUCCACUGGUUCACUCUCCAAUUGGGUGCAAGAGCCGGGGUUGGGCCAGGCCGAAGCCAGGAACCUGGAUCUGCAUCGAGGUAUUCCUCGUGGGUAGCAGGGGACCAAGCACUUGAGCCAUCCUCUGCCGCCUUCCCAGGCGUGUUAGUAGGAAGCUGGAUCAGAAGUGGUGCAGCCAGGUCUCUGAUAUGGGAUGCAGUCUUCAUUGGCUGUACCUCAGAGCCCACUCCUUUUAAGAUGUAUUUCCUUUUUUUGUAAUCACAGAAGUAUUAAAAGAGAAAACAAACAGGAAUGUAUUCUUUCAGAGUUCUCGCAGCCAGAAUUCUGAAAGCAGGGUGAUGCCUGGGCUUUGCUGCCGCUGAUGGCUUUAGAUACCCUUCACCUUGCUGGGUAACUUUCAGCUAUCUUCAUGUGAUCUUCUUCUCUGUGUGUCUUGCAUGAGCACACUUGUUUUGGGUUUAGGGACCACCUAAAUUCUGGGCAUGAGGGUGUGGACGUAUCUUUUUGGGGGUUCCUGUUCAUCCCACUAUGAAGCCCACCACCUAGACAUCUCCCCAAGUGACUAGAUGGGAUGUGGGCACCUGAGCUCAGGACAGCCCAUCCAAAGUCUGGCUGGGUACCUGCCUGUGGUCUAGACAGAACAUUCAAGCUGGGCUGGUCAGGGUUGUGGUUUCUGAAGCUGGGUCUGGAAGAGAUGGAGAGCCUGCACCAGCAGCCACCAGAGCAGGAGGCAAAAGAUGCUAUUAGCUAGAGUACCUGCAGCUGGCAGACAUUGUGAGGAAGCAGGUGCAGCAAGUUACCAGGAGAAGCCAGUGAGCAGACAGAGGGAGGGGAAGAGGUGCCACGAGGGAGACUCUGCAGCUGACCAGAGGGGCAGACUGCUUGGUUCCUCAUAGCCCUGCAGGUGCAGAGGGGCUGGGUGCCCCAACAAGAGGGAGGUCCAUUCAGACUCUUUCUCUUGGUGUCACACAUCCUAGUCAGGACCAGCACAGGCAUUCCUUGUCCCAUAGGGGCCUCAGCCUGCAAUUGUUGUGGGACACCCUUGGUGAAGGUGACCUUGCCGACUUUCAUGUCCCUUUGCAAUGCGAUUUUGCCUCCCUUCCAUCAUGAAGUGAAGUGAUUUCUCCUCUCCUUGAAUAUGAGCUUGGCCAUGUGACUUAUUUUGGCCAAUGGAGCAUUAGCAGACGGAAAGCAUUUGUGCACGGAGUUCCCCCUCGCUGUGGCUGUGGCUGUGGCAAUGCUGAGGACACAAUGUGAAGGGGCCUGGGCUAGCCAGAGUAGAGAACCAAGGCAUCCCAGCCCGGAGCUUGUCAACAGCUGGACACGUGACAGGGACAUUUAAGACCAUCCAGCCCUGGUCAGACCACCAGAUGACAAUAGCUGCAGGAGUGACCUGGACAAGGCCAGCAGAAGAACCACUGGCUGAGCCCAGCCAAACACUUACAAAAUUGUAUGCCAGUAUAAUGGUUGUUUUGAGCCACUAACUUUUGAGGCUCUUUGCCACAGAGCAGUAGAUACUUGACAUAGUCCCCUCUAGCUAAGCCUCCAGCCACCCCAGGUACGGAGUCAGGGCCUGGAACUCGGCUCUUGGAGGCGGCUGGUGAUGCAUGGCAGAUGCUGUGGUCUCCCACGAGCCAGCCUCCUUGUCUUCCUUUUAGUAAUGGCCCACCUCCCCCCGACUCUGGAGGCUGUAUUUCCCAGCCCUCCUUGCAGCUAGAUGUGACUUUGUUCUCAUCAGUGGAAUGGAAUGAGAACAGUGUACACACCUGUGUUACGGCUUCACCAGAAGCUUGCUUGCCCUGCAGCUCCUGCAUAUCUCCCAUGCCACAGGCGGCUGCAGUGGAGGUGGAGAACAACUGUGUCAAGGCUACUCAGAGUGGGGUUCCAGAGCGAGCUGCUCACUGCCGUGCAUGUUGGCGCGAGUGCAGAGUCAAGGUUAAGUGUUACUUUCCUAACAAACUGACAAGCUAACGUUAGGUCUGCUGCCUAUAACAGUAAUAAACAAACAAACAAACAAACAAAUAAAAAACCAGGGCUUUAAAACUGU